GUUGGAUAAUGUUUAAUUUAUCAUUCAAGUUUUACAUAUGAUUCUGUUUAAACCAUAUUUAAUCGAUGUUUUGGUGAAUUUCGCGCAUGCUUAACUUGCCCGAUUUCGGACGUAAUUUACUUUCGGAUACAUGCUCCUCUUGUGUUUUUUUUCGAUGUUUUCUUAUGUAUGCAGAUUAAAAAAAAACAGCUCAUGCUUAAAUGUGUUAUUGAGCAAGUGACUUCUUAAUACUAUGGCAGGAAUAAAACACUGUUAUAAAAUUAUAAAAGAAGUUUAGUUACAUGUAUAAACUCACAGUCACAAGUGUGUAAGUAUUACUGUUACAUUUAUUUAUAUUUACUAAAAGUAAAUAUAUGCUCACAUAUCAGUAAGUAUUGUACAGCCCUAAAUUAUAUUUAAUACACCCAUCUAGGCAGUUAAUUCAUAUAUGUGCUGGCUUUAAUUUACAUUCAUGUUAUUAUCACCCUGCAAUAGGCGGAGGGAUAUUGUUUUGGCCUUGUCCGCCCGUCUUUCCGUCCAUCCGGCACUUUUGUGUUGGGAGCCAUAUCUUGGAAGUGCUUUGGUGGAUUUCAUUGAAACUUGGUAUGAGUAUAUGUAUAGAUAAGAGGAUGAUGCAUGCCAAAUGGCAUUGUACACUAUCUGUUAAUAACGGAGUUAUGGCCCUUCGAACCUAAAAAAAUGCUUUUUUACCUGAGUGUCAAAUAUAACACUUUUGUGUCCAGAAGCUAAUUAGCGGGGGAUAUCAAUUCAAUGAAUUUGCUUGUUAUUAAUUGAAGGGAAAUAAACCUGUUAUUUUGUCUGUCAUUAUGGUGUUUAAAGUCACAUUUAAUGGCAUCCAACCUACUUUAUUUCAAAUACAGUAACACCUGGCGCCGUGACCUGGAUGCAGAUUCUAAGCAGAUGGGCCAAAAUGGGGGCAGCUAGAGAGACUCGCCUGGAACUGACAAGCCUGGAGGGAGCUGGUUGACUGUUGGCGAGAUGGGACAACAGACGAAGAAUAAACGAACCUACUUGAUUUGAUAAACAUUUUUAUGUUUUUCAGUUUCGUCGGAAGACAUUUCCCACCAACCAUCCUGUCUUGAAAGAAAUAACUUUUGAACCCGAUUAUCUGUUUGGCAGACAAAACAUGCUGAUCAAAAAGAAUGUGUACCACAGGGGCCAGUGUUUCCAUUUGAGUGAUUGACAAGAAGAAGAAGAGAUGAAAAAUGUUAUCAUCAUAUUUUAGUCCCUACAUUUAUAGUGUACAGCUCAAUGUAUUGAACCGGUGUUGUAGAAUAUAAUUGUGAUACAUGCGAACAUUAUAACAUUAUAUAUAAGAUGAUAUUUCAAAAGCAAUAAGAAAUAAAAAGUAUAAAAAGGUCAAAACAGUAAACCUUGUGUUUACAGUGGACAGGUUUAAAGUGGAAGUGACUAGUUAACUGUUGAUCAUAAGCUGCACUGAUGGAAAAAAUAGUGGGAAAUUACUAUCUAGAAAACUGUUUAAUGUACGACAACAGUUGUGGAACUUCAUAAAUGACCGUAUGUAACAGGGCUGUGCAGUUUUCCUUAUAUAGCUAUAGUGAAACCUUUUGAACACUAGUGAAGUCACUGUUUUUUUUUCCAAUCUUCAUGCAUUUUGGUCGAAUAUUUGUUCAAAUGAUGGCUCAGUCGAGUUUCGAAAUUUUUAUGUCUAUUCAAAAAACAUAUCCACUAGAGCACGAGGCAAUUGUCUUUUUAUGGCUAUAAUGAAACCUUGUAAAUUCUCUAGAAGUGACAUUUUUAGCCAUAUCUCCAGAAAUUUUGGUCAGAAUAUUUAUUCUAAUGAUAGCUCAGUUGUCGAGUUUGUAACUGGUUCCGGUUUGUAGACUAACAUGGCUGCCAGUGGACAUGACAGUUUUUCUUAAAGUGCUAGAGUAGAACCUUGUUAACACACAAUUGGGCUUUUUUAUGUGCAUUUUUCAUGAAAGAUGAUCAGAGCAUUUGGCCCAAUGUAAUCUCAGCUGACUUUGAAACUGGAUCACAUAACGUCAAAAAGUGGGUCAAAAUGUCAAAUUAAAAAAAGCUUGUAAACACUGGAAGUUGCAUUUAAAAUUGUGUUCCUUUUUUAUGUCCCCCACUAUAGUAGUGGGGGACAUAUUGUUUUUGCCCUGUCUGUUGGUUGGUUGGUUUGCGCCAACUUUAACAUUUGCAAUAACUUUUGCAAUAUUGAAGAUAGGAACUUGAUAUUUUGCAUGCAUAUGUAUCUCAUGGAGCUGCACAUUUUGAGUGGUGAAAGGUCAAGGUCAUCCUUCAAGGUCAAAGGUCAAAUAUAUGGGUCAAAAUCGCUCAUUUAAUGUACACUUUUGCAGUAUUUCAAUAUUCAAGAUAGCAACUUGAUAUUUGGCAUGCAUGUGUAUCUCAUGGAGCUGCACAAUUUGAGUGGUGAAAGGUUAAGUUCAUCCUUCAAGGUCAGAUGUCAAAUAUAUGUGUCCAAAAUCGCUCAUAUUAUUAUACUUUUGCAAUAUUGAAGAUAGCAACUUGAUAUUUGGCAUGCAUGUGUAUCUCGUGGAUCUGCACAUUUUGAGUGGUGAAAGGUCAAGGUCAUCCUUCAAGGUCAGAGGUCAAAUAUAUGUGGCCCAAAUCGCUAAUUUUAUGAAUACUUUUUCUAUAUUGAAGAUAGCAACUUCAUAUUUGGCAUGCAUGUGUAUCUCAUGGAGCUGCACAUUUUUAGUGGUGAAAGGUCAAGAUCAUCCUUCAAGGUCAAAUAUAUGGGUCAAAUUUGAUCAUGUAAUGUCACUUCUGCAAUAUUGAAGCUAGCAAUUUUAUAUUUGAAAUGCAUGUGUAUCUCAUGGAGCUGCACAUUUUGAGUGGUGAAGGGUCAAGGUCAUCCUACAACGUCAAACGUCAUAUAGGGGGACAUUGUGUUUCACAAACACAUCUUGUUUAAAGUUUGUCAAAACAUUUGCUGUAAUGAUAAGCAAAGUCAAGUUUAUAAAUGAUUAUUUGCCUACAAAUUACAUAUCUUUCAUCAAGUUCAUUUAUUAUUCUAAACUACACCCUCUCAGAAUAGUUUAGUUACUUCUGGUCACAGUUGAGCACCUUAGGGCUCUUGUUCUAUAAUUUGAUUGUUUUGGAAAAUUGUCAUUUUGCCAAAAUGUGAGCAAGUCCAAAUUUAAUUAAUGUAUAAAGUGGAAAAUUAUCUAUGAAUCUGACUGCAUAGAUAUUUGGUAUUCAGCAAAGCAUCGUGUUAAUGUAGUAAAACUAAACACAAUUGUGUUAGCAUAAAACUGGCCAUGCCAUGGGGGUCAAAUGGUUAAUACAGACUUGUAGGAAAAAGACUUCUAAAAAUUUUAUCCAUUAAAUAUAUUUUGUGUACAUAAUGAUUAGCUUUUUCCUUCAACUUAUC